UACAGAGGGGGCAAGCGUUGUUCGGAAUUACUGGGCGUAAAGGGCGCGUAGGCGGCCUUCUAAGUCGAACGUGAAAUCCCCGGGCUCAACCCGGGAACUGCGUCCGAGACUGGAAGGCUUGAAUCCGGGAGAGGGAUGUGGAAUUCCAGGUGUAGCGGUGAAAUGCGUAGAUAUCGAGAGGAACACCUGCGGCGAAGGCGGGUUGCUGGGCUGACACUGACGCUGAGGCGCGAAAGCCAGGGGAGCGAACGGG
rnacentral:rRNA from 1 species